GCUUCCUCUGAGACCCUGAGAUACUGGUGUGAACAAGCUCCUAGGAUGCUGGGAUCCUGAAAUCCUUAGUUCCUUGGUGUGUUACAGCCUCUGGAAUUGGUACCUCCUCUGGGGACUGUGGGGCUAUCUGCUGUAUUCAAAACCAAUGUAUACCAGAGAAGACCAGAAGGAACCCAAACUGCGUGUCAGUGCCUGACAAUCAAAGUUGGUGGAUGAAAAUGAAGAGAUGAAUUGCUAGCAGUGUAACUCAGAACACAGCAGCUGCAAGAUGGUCAGAGAAAAAAACCCAUUUGCAGCCAAGAUGUUACAUUAGAAGCAUCUAAGAAGGAAAGCCAUGAGUCAGAUCUGAACUUCACAUUUUUCUCCUAAACAGCAAAGAACAGAAAGCAUCUGAAUUUGGGGCAGAAAAAAAUGUCAUCCAUGCUCCCUUUGCUUGCAUAUACAAUUAAGGUUGUAGUGUAAAUUGUAAUGAGUACAUGAAAAGUGGCAUAACGAUAUUAUCAAGUUGGUUCCAACAGCAAACUUGAUAUAUAGAUGGAGG
rnacentral:lncRNA from 1 species